AGAGCGCACCCCGAGCGCCGGCGAGCGGCGCGGUGAGACCCUCGUGCAGGUGAGCCCGGCGCACGGCGGCCCAGAAUCCUGGACCCCAGGAGAAGCGUCUACGGCCCCGACAGAGACGGAGUUUCACCAUGUUGGCCAGGAUGGUCUUCAACUUCUAACUUCGUGAUCCACGCUGCUGGGAUUACAGGUGUGAGCCACCGCGUGUGGCCUCUGGGCACCUUUUGAAGGUGGUUUCACCCCAACAUCAGCAGGGUGGAGGCGGAGAAGCUGUUCCUAUCCAGAGGUCAGCGUGGGGACUUCCUUGCCAGGCCCAGUGAGAGCAGCCCGGGGGGCUUCACGCUGUCCGUCAGGUAGCUGAAGCAGAGAGAGAAGGCGGCAGGCAUCAGCGUUUUCUUCUAUGAACUUAUAAGAUCAAAGACUUUAAGACUUUCACUAUUUCUUCUACCGCUAUCUACUACGAACUUCAAAGAGGAACCAGGAGUACGGAAGGAGCAUGAAAGUGGACAAGGAACGUGACCAUUGAAGCACCACAGGGAGGGGUUCAGGCCUCCGGAUGACUGCAGGCAGGCCUGGGUAACAUCCAGCCUCCCACAAGAAGCUGGUGGAGCAGAGCGUUCCCUGACUCCUCCAAGGAAAGGAGACUCCCUUUCCCGGUCUGCUCAGUAACGGGUGCCUUCCCAGACACUGGCGUUACCGCUUGACCAAGGGGCCCUCAAGCGGCCCUUAUGCGGGCAUGACAGAAGGCUCCCCUCUUGCCUUCUAUUCACUUCUCACAAUGUCCCUUCAGCACCUGACCCUAUACCUGCCGGUUAUUCCUAGGUUAUAUUAUUAAUGCAACAGAGUAAUAUUAAAAGCUAAUGAUUAAUAAUGUUUAUAAUAAUGAUGGAUAAUUGUUCAUGAUCAUCGCUGUAUCUAAUUUGUAUUAUGACUAUUCUUAUUCUAUUUUCUUUAUUAUACUGAAACAGUUUGUGCCUUCA
rnacentral:lncRNA from 10 species